CUAGUUUCCAAGAUGGAUGCCAUCUUGGCGCUAAAAAGCAUGCCCGGAGGGAUACGUCUUUCGCGAUCCCAAUUGCUACCGGGUCAUAAAGGCCUCUGUAAACUUCUUCGAGGCACAGGUUGCUUGCGUUCGAGAUGGCGGCAGCCUUGCGAGUCCCAGAAGCCUGCACGAGCAUGGCGCCAUAUCCUCGUUGCUGUCCGAAUCGGCAAUGAUCGGCAUAAAUGACCUGGACGCGGAGGGAACGUGGAUGUACAUGGACGGCACAUUGGUGGGGAAUUUCAGCAGAUGGUCGGAUGUUCUUAACACGAACUCGAAAGACUGCGUAGCCAUGAGGAUAGACUUGAAGUUAAGUUGGACUCCACACCACUGUAAUCCAGAUUCGGAAGGAAAAGCCCAACUUUCGUCCUUUGUUUGCCAAAUAGCUGCAGAUGAUUACGGAAAAAUGAAGAUGCCAGAACAGGCACAAGAUAGACCUGCUUUGGAAACUACAGAUUCGUAUUCAACAAUACCGCAAAAGGAUGAAGAAAAACGCACAACAAAAAGAACUCGAGUAUCAGCGAAAAAGUACGAUGCGGCUAUUGGCCUAUUAACAAUGACAACACUUUCGUAUGAUGACUACAAUAAGCAUAUCCCUGGGGAAAUACUUCAAAAGAACCUGUCUCCUCUAAAAGUUUUGAAACGACUUCCACGAGAUGUCCCUAAUAACCAGACCACCAUGCGAACCAUCUACCAUGGGACAAAUCGCACAACACAGUUAACGACAAUCCCGACAACUCGCCAUGUAACUACACAGUUUACGACGAUCCAAACAACAGACCAACCUACGACAAUCCCGACAACAAAGCAUGUUACUACACAUUUAACAACAAUCCAAACAACAGACCAACCUACGACAAUCCCGACAACAAAGCAUGUAACUACACAGUUAACAACAAUCCAAACAACAGACCAACCUACGACAAUCCCGACAACAAAGCAUGUUACUACACAUUUAACAACAAUCCAAACAACAGACCAACCUACGACAAUCCCGACAACAAAGCAUGUUACUACACAGUUAACAACAAUCCAAACAACAGACCAACCUACGACAA